rnacentral:lncRNA from 1 species
CAGGUGAAGGACAUGUUUGCUUCCCUUUCCACCAUGAUUGCAAGUUUCCUGAGGCCUCCCUAGCCAUGCUGAACUGUACUCAGAUGAAAACUACUUGCAUGAAAGAAUUGAGACAACAAGAUGAAUUAGAGGAGCAGCACAGUUUUUAAAGUAUCUAGUGUAUAUAAGGACAAGCCAUUCUCAGUCAAGCAUGAAACUGAAUCUGAGGAAAAGAAGAAAGCUGAAAACACACUGAGGAUUAUGGGAGAGGGGCAAGUGCAUGAAGCUUCUCAAUGACAUACAGACACUCUAAAAGCUCAAGAGAUCAAUUAUUCAACUUCAAGAACUGAAAUUUGAACACAGAUUUUGAGCUUCCAAAUCAGGAGAAAAAGAAGUGUUCUAUAAGAAGUUUGGACAAGACUCUGCAAGAAGUUAAGAGGUCCUUAAAGGCAACUGUGAAUUAACGGAGACUAGUUUUGAGAAAAUCAGUCCUGAUUUGUUUCUCCUGGAGUUUUCUUCUUUAUGUGAUCCUUCAUAAAAGCUGCUAAUAUGGGAAAGAUUGAAAUCAGCAAGUUUCUGGCUGUAAGCUAAAAGAGGCUCUUGAAUCAUAUUUCCGCCUGCUUAGCAAAUUUCUCUUGCGACAAUUGGAUGUUAUUUGGGGUUCCAUACUAGCAGGAAGAAGUACAAGCAAAGCUAAGUCAUUUUGAGAAUAAAUAUUAUCUCUCUAUAUAUUUGUAAAUGUUAUUUUCUUUUUUUUUGAGGUUUAUGAUUGAUCCUUGGCAUGUGUCCCCUUGUGUAUUGCUCUACUAAAAAUAGCCUAAAAAAGAAUUUUCCCCUCGAUGUGGAGCUUCUCUUUAGUUACAAUUCUACUUUCUCCUUCACUUGAGUAUCAGUCUUCAGAGAACUACCAUAACAAAGGAGUGGAUACAGAUAUACGCAAAAAAGUCUAUGAGAAAAUUAGUACAUUAAAUUUGUGAAAGCUCAUUUAAAGUAAUUUUCUACUAACAAUUUUAAUCAAAUGUAUUAAUCAUAUUUCUAUGCUUAGUGAUGUUAAAUAAAAAUUUAAAAGGUGGCAAUCAAUAAACAGAGAUAAAA